rnacentral:SRP_RNA from 1 species
GCUGGGCGUGGUGGCGCAUGCCUGUAAUCCCAGCUACUUGGGAGGCUGAGGCAGGAGAAUCGCUUGAACACAGGAGGCUGAGGUUGCAGUGAGCCAAGAUCGUGCCACUGCACUCCAGCUCAAAAAAAAAAAAAAAAAAGGAAUAAAUUACAUUACCAUUUAAGCCAACCAAUUCAGCACUUUUUCUGAUAUUUGCACAAGGCAUUCUUUUUUUUUUUUUUUUUUUGAAACAGAACCUCGCUCUGUGGCCCAGGCUGGAGUGCAGUGGUGUGAUCUUGGCUCAGUGCAACCUCUGCCUCCUGGGUUCAAGUGUAUUUUU